rnacentral:rRNA from 1 species
AGAGUUUGAUCCUGGCUCAGAUUGAACGCUGGCGGCAUGCCUUACACAUGCAAGUCGAACGGUAACAGGUUAAGCUGACGAGUGGCGAACGGGUGAGUAAUAUAUCGGAACGUGCCCAGUCGUGGGGGAUAACGUAGCGAAAGCUACGCUAAUACCGCAUACGAUCUACGGAUGAAAGCGGGGGAUCGCAAGACCUCGCGCGAUUGGAGCGGCCGAUAUCAGAUUAGCUAGUUGGUGGGGUAAAAGCUCACCAAGGCGACGAUCUGUAGCUGGUCUGAGAGGACGACCAGCCACACUGGAACUGAGACACGGUCCAGACUCCUACGGGAGGCAGCAGUGGGGAAUUUUGGACAAUGGGCGCAAGCCUGAUCCAGCAAUGCCGCGUGCAGGAUGAAGGCCUUCGGGUUGUAAACUGCUUUUGUACGGAACGAAACGGCGAGCUCUAAUAAAGCUCGCUAAUGACGGUACCGUAAGAAUAAGCACCGGCUAACUACGUGCCAGCAGCCGCGGUAAUACGUAGGGUGCAAGCGUUAAUCGGAAUUACUGGGCGUAAAGCGUGCGCAGGCGGCGAUGUAAGACAGAUGUGAAAUCCCCGGGCUCAACCUGGGACCUGCAUUUGUGACUGCAUCGCUAGAGUACGGUAGAGGGGGAUGGAAUUCCGCGUGUAGCAGUGAAAUGCGUAGAUAUGCGGAGGAACACCGAUGGCGAAGGCAAUCCCCUGGACCUGUACUGACGCUCAUGCACGAAAGCGUGGGGAGCAAACAGGAUUAGAUACCCUGGUAGUCCACGCCCUAAACGAU